CACACAGCUCAGUAACACGUGGCUAACCUGCCCUUGGGACCAGAACACCCCCGGGAAACUGGGGCUAAUUCUCGAUAGGUGAAGAACUCUGGAAUGAGUCUUCGCUUAAAAGAGGCUGGGGUUAUGCUCUCCAGUUUCGCCUAAGGAUGGGGCCGCGACCGAUCAGGUUGUUGGUGAGGUAAUGGCUCACCAAGCCUUUUACCGGUGCGGGCCGUGGGAGCGGGAGCCCGGAGAUGGGCACUGAGACAAGGGCCCAGGCCCUACGGGGCGCAGCAGUCGCGAAAACUUUGCAAUAAGCGAAAGCUUGACAGGGCUAUCCCGAGUGCCAUCCGCUGAGGAAGGCUUUUACCCAGUCUAGAACGCUGGGGGAAUAAGGAGAGGGCAAGUCUGGUGUCAGCCGCCGCGGUAAUACCAGCUCUCCGAGUGGUGUGGAUGUUUAUUGGGCCUAAAGCAUCCGUAGCUGGCUAGGUUAGUCCCCUGUUAAAUCCACCGAAUUAAUCGUUGGAUUGCGGGGGAUACUACUUGGCUAGGGGACGAGAGAGGCAGACGGUAUUUCCGGGGUAGGGGUGAAAUCCUAUAAUCCCGGGAAGACCACCAGUGGCAAAGGCUGUCUGCUAGAACGCGCCCGACGUUGAGGGAUGAAAGCUGGGGGAACGAACC
rnacentral:rRNA from 1 species